UACAGGGGGUGCAAACGUUGCUCGGAAUUAUUGGGCGUAAAGCGCGCGUAGGCGGCCACUUAAGUCGGAUGUGAAAGCCCUUGGCUCAACUGAGGAAGUGCACCCGAAACUGAAUGGCUUGAGUACUAAAGAGGGUCGCGGAAUUCACGGUGUAGCAGUGAAAUGCGUAGAUAUCGUGAGGAACACCAGAGGCGAAGGCGGCUACCUGGACAAUUGCUGACGCUCAGGCACGAAAGCGUGGGGAGCAAAAGGG
rnacentral:rRNA from 1 species